rnacentral:tRNA from 2 species
GCGCGGGUGGCGGAAUUGGUAUACGCGCACGUUUGAGGGGCGUGUGGGGUAACCCGUGUGGGUUCAAGUCCCACCCCGCGCACUA